UACGUAGGGUGCGAGCGUUAAUCGGAAUUACUGGGCGUAAAGCGUGCGCAGGCGGUUCUCCAAGUCCGUUGUGAAAGCCCCGGGCUCAACCUGGGAAUGGCAGUGGAAACUAGGGGACUUGAAUCUGGCAGAGGGGGGUGGAAUUCCACGUGUAGCAGUGAAAUGCGUAGAGAUGUGGAGGAACACCGAUGGCGAAGGCAGCCCCCUGGGCUGAGAUUGACGCUCAGGCACGAAAGCGUGGGGAGCAAACGGG
rnacentral:rRNA from 1 species